rnacentral:rRNA from 1 species
UACGUAGGUGGCAAGCGUUGUUCGGAAUUAUUGGGCGUAAAGAGCUCGUAGGCGGUUUGUCGCGUCGGCCGUGAAAUCUCCACGCUUAACGUGGAGCGUGCGGUCGAUACGGGCAGACUUGAGUUCGGUAGGGGAGACUGGAAUUCCUGGUGUAGCGGUGAAAUGCGCAGAUAUCAGGAGGAACACCGAUGGCGAAGGCAGGUCUCUGGGCCGAUACUGACGCUGAGGAGCAAAAGCGUGGGGACGCAAAGAGGA